rnacentral:rRNA from 1 species
UCCAGCUCCAAUAGCGUAUAUUUAAGUUGUUGCAGUUAAAAAGCUCGUAGUUGGAUUUUGGGUGCGGCAGGCCGGUCCGCCCUUUGGGUGUGCACUGGCAGGCGGCAUCUUUCUGUCGAGGACGCGCGCCUGGCCUUCACUGGUCGGGCCGCGGAGUCGGCGCUGUUACUUUGAAAAAAUUAGAGUGUUCAAAGCGGGCCUACGCUUGAAUAUAUUAGCAUGGAAUAACACCAUAGGACUCCUGUCCUAUUCUGUUGGUCUUCGGGAUGGGAGUAAUGAUUAAGAGGAACAGUUGGGGGCAUUCGUAUUUCAUUGUCAGAGGUGAAAUUCUUGGAUUUAUGAAAGACGAACUUCUGCGAAAGCAUUUGCCAAGGAUGUUUUCAUUAAUCAAGAACGAAAGUUGGGGGCUCGAAGAUGAUUAGAUACCAUCCUAGUCUCAACCAUAAACGAUGCCGACUAGGGAUUGGCGGGUGUUCUUUUGAUGACCCCGCCAGCACCUUAUGAGAAAUCAAAGUCUUUGGGUUCCGGGGGGAGUAUGGUCGCAAGGCUGAAACUUAAAGGAAUUGACGGAAGGGCACCACCAGGAGUGGAGCCUGCGGCUUAAUUUGACUCAACACGGGGAAACUUACCAGGUCCAGACAUAGUAAGGAUUGACAGAUUGAGAGCUCUUUCUUGAUUCUAUGGGUGGUGGUGCAUGGCCGUUCUUAGUUGGUGGAGUGAUUUGUCUGGCUAAUCCCGUUAACGAACGAGACCUCAGCCUGCUAACUAGUCCCGGUCUUCCUGGAAGGCCGGCUGACUUCUUAGAGGGACUAUUGGCGAUUAGCCAAUGGAAGUUUGAGGCAAUAAC